rnacentral:misc_RNA from 1 species
AUGAAGAACGUAGCGAAAUGCGAUAAGUAAUGUGAAUUGCAGAAUUCAGUGAAUCAUCGAAUCUUUGAACGCAUCUUGCGCUCCUUGGUAUUCUGAGGAGCAUGCCUGUUUGAGUGUCAUUAAAUUCUCAACUACACUGACUUUGAAUUGGUGUGGCUUGGAUUUGGGGGGAAAAUUGUUGUGGGCUUUUUGUAUAGUCUGCUCCCCUGAAAUUGAUUAGCGGUACCUUUGUGGAACUGUCUACAGGUGUGAUAAUUAUCUACAUCUUAGACAUCUGCUGGAAUGCUGCUUUCUAAACCUUACUUGUAUUGACAAUCUUGACCUCAAAUCAGGUAGGACUACCCGCUGAACUUAAGCAUAUCAAUAAGCGGAGGA